CCUACGGGUGGCAGCAGUGGGGAAUAUUGGACAAUGGGGGAAACCCUGAUCCAGCGACGCCGCGUGAGUGAAUAAGUAUUUCGGUACGUAAAGCUCUAUCAGCAGGAAAGAAAAUGACGGUACCUGACUAAGAAGCCCCGGCUAACUACGGGCCAGCAGCCGCGGUAAUACGUAGGGGGCAAGCUGUAUCGGGAUUUACUGGGGGUAAAGGGAGCGUAGACGACAGCGCAAGUCAGGAGGUAAAUGCCGGGGCCCAACCCCGGAACUGCUCUGGAAACUGUGAAGCUGGAGUGCAGGAGAGGUAAGCGGAAGUCCUGGUGUAGCGGUGAAAUGCGUAGAUAUCAGGAGGAACACCGGCGGCGAAGGCGGCUUACUGGACUGUAACUGACGUUGAGGCUCGAAGGCGUGGGGAGCAAACAGGAUUAGAUACCCUUGUAGUC
rnacentral:rRNA from 1 species